CGGGAUAUAGCUCAGUUUGGUAGAGUACCUGGUUUGGGACCAGGGUGUCGUAGGUUCAAAUCCUACUAUCCCGA
rnacentral:tRNA from 6 species